rnacentral:rRNA from 1 species
CGUGAUCACAGUUUGAUCCUGUCACAGGACGAACGCUGGCGGCGUGACUAAUACAUGCAACGCCAGCGAAUCACUUCGGUGGUCAGCGGCGGACGGGUGAGUAACACGGGGGCAACCUGCCUGUAAGACUGGGAUAGCACCCGGGAAAACGGUGCUAAUACAGGAAAAUCAAUUAGCUCCGAUGAAGAAAUGCUGAAAGACAGUUUCGGCUAAAACUUACAGAUGGNCCCACGGACGCUUAACUCGACGGGGAGGAGAGGUUAGUUCACGGUUUCGAGGCAUAUGCGUAAGUAUGGGGACGCAGCACCCCACUCCCACUCACCAUCAAAUCGUCUACACGUCCUAAGCAACCAUCCGUACGACGACAGCAAAUAAACAAGCGUGCCCCCCGCAGGCAUACCCAGCGCGGAAAUAAUAAGACCAUAUCACAUCGCGGGAGCAUGAAAGUAUGCGCGACCAUCAAAGCAAGAGACACGGUGGAGGUGCGAACAACUCGAACGCAAGCUGCAAGAAUAAAUCUAUCUGAACGAACUCGCGCACGUGUAUAAUAGUAGAGCCCAAGCAUAAAAAAUGCAAAUAAAAGCAAAAAGGAUGUCACGAUGAAGGGGAUAGGGUAAAAGAAUCAAAAGAGAGCGGCGAAGCCAUACAAGGAAGGAGAGAGAGGAUUUCGUUCACGAUCUACACGGAGCGGAUCCCCCACGUCAGAAAUCACACGGACUGAUCUGUACGGACUGCGCGAGUAAAGAGCGAGGAGAACGGAAUGUCACCAAACUCGAAAACACACGCUCCGAAAUGCCAGAGUUGGUACUAUACGGACCGGCUGGAGAUUGGCGAGAAAUCGA